UGGGGAAUUUUGCACAAUGGGGGAAACCCUGAUGCAGCGACGCCGCGUGAUUUAGAAGGCCUUCGGGUUGUAAAAAUCUUUUCUAUGGGAAGAAAAUGACAGUACCAUAGGAAUAAGGACUGGCUAAUUACGUGCCAGCAGCCGCGGUAAUACGUAAGGUCCGAGCGUUGUCCGGAAUCAUUGGGCGUAAAGGGUACGUAGGCGGGUAAGCAAGUUAGAAGUGAAAUCCUGUAGCUCAACUACAGUAAGCUUUUAAAACUGCUCAUCUUGAGAUAUGGAAGGGAAAGUGGAAUUCCUAGUGUAGCGGUGAAAUGCGCAGAUAUUAGGAGGAAUACCGGUGGCGAAGGCGACUUUCUGGCCAUAUACUGACGCUGAGGUACGAAAGCGUGGGUAGCAAACAGG
rnacentral:rRNA from 1 species